GAAUAUGGGGGGACCAUCCUCCAAGGCUAAAUACUCCUGACUGACCGAUAGUGAACCAGUACCGUGAGGGAAAGGCGAAAAGAACCCCGGCGAGGGGAGUGAAAAAGAACCUGAAACCGUGUACGUACAAGCAGUGGGAGCCCCACCACUAAGCCAGUGGUGAACUCCACAUCCGCAUCCUUUGCUGAGGAUACGGUUAACGGAGCGAAAGCGACGUUCAACCGCAAAACAAGCAGAGGGGGCUUAGUGGUGGGGUGACUGCGUACCUUUUGUAUAAUGGGUCAGCGACUUAUAUUCUGUAGCAAGGUUAACCGAAUAGGGGAGCCGGAGGGAAACCGAGUCUUAAUUGGGCGUUAAGUUGCAGGGUAUAGACCCGAAACCCGGUGAUCUAGCCAUG
rnacentral:rRNA from 3 species